ACAGUCUCACUCUGUUUCAACAGUUCGAGCACUGCUUCAAUGAACGCGCCAGUCUCCGUGUCACGCGUCUUAAAUCCUGCAGGAUUGCACCUCUAUCCGUGCCGUUGCCACGCAUGAGAAAAACCGCAUCUCACCAAAGAGGAAACGCACGCGUGCAUUUAACACAGAGACGCGCGUUGACUUGGCUGCUAUUUUCUCUUCCGUCUUUUCUGGGACCUCGAAUGUCAGUGGAAUAUUAAGCUGGAAAAUAUAAAGCAUCUGUUUUAACUCUUUUUUUGGUGUCGUGACGUGAAGGACGUUUCGCAACCGGCUGUAUGUUUGCUGUGCGUGGCUUACUGGAAUAUAAGCGAGUUUCAGGAGCGAAGGCGUCCCGUAUUCAACGAGCGGACAUUCCUCGCGCCAAGUGCGAGACACGGUCGGAUCUCCUUUGAAGUUCGUUGUGCGCGCGCUGAAGUAACCGUCGGACUACGCGCAGUGCGCUUACAGGUCUGAGGUCUUCUAGCCGUCUCUCAAACCUCCAGAUCAAGCUCCCAUAGUGAGAACCAGACGAUAGCAAGUCUUGAUCACAUCCUCAAAGUGAUUGGCAGGAACGUGGCAUCUGUGUUUCUUCUCUGAUAUUCAGAUGACAACGUGAC